rnacentral:rRNA from 1 species
UACAGAGGUCCCGAGCGUUGUUCGGAUUCACUGGGCGUAAAGGGUGCGUAGGUGGCGGGGUGAGUUUGAUGUGAAAUCUCCGGGCUUAACCCGGAAACUGCAUUGGAUACUAUUCCGCUCGAGGUUUGGAGGGGGGACUGGAAUUCUCGGUGUAGCAGUGAAAUGCGUAGAUAUCGAGAGGAACACCAGUGGCGAAGGCGAGUCCCUGGACAACACCUGACACUGAGGCACGAAAGCUGGGGGAGCAAACAGG